rnacentral:rRNA from 1 species
UACGUAGGGUGCAAGCGUUGUCCGGAAUUAUUGGGCGUAAAGAGCUCGUAGGCGGUUUGUCACGUCGGCUGUGAAAACCCGAGGCUCAACCUCGGGCCUGCAGUCGAUACGGGCAGACUAGAGUAUGGCAGGGGAGACUGGAAUUCCUGGUGUAGCGGUGAAAUGCGUAGAUAUCGUAAGGAAGACCAGUGGCGAAGGCGGGUCUCUGGACAGUUCCUGACGCUGAGGCACGAAGGCCAGGGGAGCAAACGGG